ensembl:lncRNA
CUGUGACUUUGCCCUGGGAGGAAGAACUUCUCACUGUACCAUGAUCAGUCAUGUGACCCUGACUGCUGUGCAAAUACCAGCUCCCUCUAGUUCAUAUGAACUAAAGGCACACUCUGCUCCUUCUCUUGGUCACCACCUAGAGUUCUUCACAUCUCUCCUGGCCCUAGGCUGCUCUGGCCCUCCCUCCUCCCGCUGGCAGAGAAGUUUAAACAGAAGACAGACGGAUCUUAAAGAAUGACAAUGGAUUAUCGCAGGUUUAACCAGGUGGUGACUCUAAUACAACUGCUACACCAGAUGUGGUUUCAUUGCUUCAGCAAAGUGACACAUCCCUGAGAGCAGUCAUGCAGCUUUUUGUCUGGUAAAUUCAUUCUUCUCCAUGCUUGUCUAUAACACUCACAAGAAGCAGUUUGCUUUUAGCUGCCAAGGCCAGCAACGCACCUCACUAUUGUUCCGUCGGGGUUAUCAGUUCUCCAGCUCUAUGUCAUAAUUUAGUUCACAGAGAUGUUAUCGCCUUUACCUUCCAUGAGAUAUUUCACCGUUCUGUUUAUUGAUGACAUGAUACUGAUUGGACCUUGUGAGAGAGAAGUAGCAACCACUUGGGGCUUACUGGUAUGAUAUUUGAGUGUCAGUCAAAUAAAUUUGACUAAAAUCCUACUCAGUGAAAUUUCUAGGGGUCCAGUGGUGCAGGGCAUGUUGAAAUAUUUCUUCUAAUGUGAAAGGUAAGUUCUUGCAACUUUUCCCUUCUACUUCUUCAAAAAUGAGGCAGAGAGCUCAAUAGGCCUGUUGGGAUUUUGGAGGCAUCAUCUUCCUCUUUGUGUGUCUUAUAUCAGCCCAUUUUUGCUGAGUGACCUGAAAUUCAUUAUGUUUAAGAAGGACCCAGAAGAUCAGAAGUCUCUGCAAUAGGUCCAGGCUGCCACACAGGCUAUUCUGCCAUUUGUGCCACAUGACCCAGAAUAUCCAAUGGUGCUUGAGGUGUCAGUGGCAGACAGGGAUGCUGUGUGGAACCUUUGGCAGCCCAUGUAGGUGAAUCACAGCACAGGUCUUUAGGAUUUUAGAGCAAGCCCAUGCUACCUUCCACAGAUAACUACUCUCUUUUUGAGAGAUAGCUCUUGGCCUGCUAUUGAGCCUAGGUAGAGACUGAAUGCUUAACCUUGGGCCCUCAACAUACCAUGUGAUCUGAGAUGCCCAUCAUCAACUAUUAUCUAAUUCACAAAGCCAUAAACUUGGGCGUGCAGAACAGCAGCUCAUCAUGAAAUGGAAGUGAUGUAUACAUGAUUGGGCCUGAGCAGGCCCUAAAGGCACAAGUAAGUUACACAAAGAAGUGCCACAAAUGUCCAUGGUCCCCAUGCUCCACGAUAGAGACAAGAAAGAGUUUGUCUGGAAUCCUAGAGAUAACUGAGUAUUUGCAUACCAUGCCUUGUGAUUAAGUUCAGUGGAAAACUGCAGAUGAAUUUGGGCAGGACUACUUAUAGUCCAGGCCCUUCAGGAUGAAGGCUCAGGUACCUCACCAGGUAAUAGUGUAUGACCAGCUGAGGUGUUUGUUGGAAGCAUGGGAAUAUGGAAUGGAUAGUGGAAGAAGGUAGUUAUAAAUAUCAGCUACGACCACAUGACCAUUUACAGAACUAGGCCUGUAAUUGUCAUGAAUAUUUUUUGUUAUGAAUGUGUGUAUAUAAAUGUGUAUUAAGCAAAGUCUUUGUUUUUUUCUUCCUUCUCUCAUCCCCACCAA